ACAUUCACUUGGUUUAUUCGCCGUUAUUAGUGUAUCAAAAAGGUGUGUCUGUCUUGCUUCCAAUUUAUAGUCACUCACGAUCCUUGAUAAUUUAUGGAUGAUAAUCUAACGUUAGCGUAGCAAUUUAUUUAAACAAGCAGACAUAAAUCGAAACUGUAAACUUUGAGUGACAGUGACAAUAGUCUUGCGAGAUAAAUUAAUUGACUUUGCCGUGAGUUGUUAUUCAGUCAGUUUUCUUCGCUCUUUCGGAAGUGCACCUACACACUUUUUCCAAGUUUUGCUACACACAAAAAAAAUCAUAAUAACUUAACGAAUGGUGAUGCGUCACAUAUGCCAAUCUCAUUCUGCUGUUCAUGCAUGUAUUGGCCGUGUCGUUGUCUUGGGGUAGACACACAUGUAAAAUUCUCAUUCAUUCAUAUUGCGCAUAUCUUUUUCUUAGCACGCUUACUUAAAACAUUCCAAAAGUCAUCCGAAUUAUUUUCACUAAUGUGUCCAACUUCGCAGCAUCCUUGCAAUUUGUUCUGACAAAUUAUGCACAAUAAUGUCAUAAGAAUGGGCGCUUAUGCAGAUAAUUUUUUUGUGAAACCACCAUAUUUUCGGGUAAACCGUGAAGUUUAAGUUUUGCCCAGAAUGAGUUAUUUCAUUCUUUUACUCAUAUGUAGACUAGGCAAUAAUUUUUUCGGCAUAAUGAUAUACAGCAAGUAAUGUGCUUCCUCUAAUGACUUCCGAAUUUGGGAGUAUAAAACCCUGAGAAUUGCAUCCAAUUGCACCAGUCCAAGAGUUGUACAAUUGAAUUUAUACAAAAAUUCGAACCACUUCUGGUCGCAUUAUUUUAUUUUAGUUUUAAAUUGGUCAUCAGGCCAUGAAUAACUAUAAACUUCUUGUCGCGUUUUCAUUAACGACAACAUCUCUUUAUGUCAUUGCAACUUCUGUUCCUGAGCAUGACUCGCGAAAGCUCACUGGUGACACUUCUUCACUCAUCCCGAGUUCUCGGAAAGGUCGGGGUAGCCUGUCUGGGGGGAAAAGUGUGGUCGUGAUUCCCACAGGAGAUGCUAGAAUUCUACCCAAAAUAUAUCUCACCGCUGGCGUGGCUACCUCUUCCAAAGUUAAAGGUGGCGGAGGUUCGCUAUUUUUCUUUAAAA